rnacentral:rRNA from 1 species
CCUACGGGUGGCUGCAGUGAGGAAUAUUGGUCAAUGGACGAGAGUCUGAACCAGCCAAGUAGCGUGAAGGAUGACGGCCCUAUGGGUUGUAAACUUCUGUGAUAGGGGAAUAAAAUGGGCCACGUGUGGGAUUUUGUAUGUACCAUAUGAAUAAGGAUCGGCUAACUCCGUGCCAGAAGCCUCGGUAAUACGGAGGUUCCGAGCGUUAUCCGGAUUUAUUGGGUUUAAAGGGAGCGUAGGUGGCUUGUUAAGUCAGUUGUGAAAGUGUGCGGCUCAACCGUAAAAUUGCAGUUGAACCUGGCAGUCUUGUGUACAGUAGAGGUUGGCGGAAUUCGUGGUGUAGCGG